rnacentral:rRNA from 1 species
GAGACAGCAGUAGCCGCGGGAAUACAAAGGGGGCUAGCGUUGCUCGGAAUGACUGGGCGUAAAGGGCGCGUAGGCGGUUUUGACAGUCAGAUGUGGAAUUCCUGGACUUAACCUGGGGGCUGCAUUUGAGACGUCAAGACUAGAGUGUGAGAGAGGGUUGUGGAAUUCCCAGUGUAGAGGUGAAAUUCGUAGAUAUUGGGAAGAACACCGGUGGCGAAGGCGGCAACCUGGCUCAUUACUGACGCUGAGGCGCGAAAGCGUGGGGAGCAAACAGGAUUAGAUACCCCCGUAGUCCCUGUCUCUUAUAC